GACGAACGCUGGCGGCGUGCCUAAUACAUGCAAGUUGAACGCUUCUUUCUUAUCGAACUUCGGUUCACCAAGAAAGAGGAGUAGCGAACGGGUGAGUAACACGUGGGUAACCUGCCCAUCAGCGGGGGAUAACACUUGGAAACAGGUGCUAAUACCGCAUAAUGCUUUUUCUCACAUGAGAGAAAGCUGAAAGGCGCUUUUGCGUCACUGAUGGAUGGACCCGCGGUGCAUUAGCUAGUUGGUAGGGUAACGGCCUACCAAGGCAACGAUGCAUAGCCGACCUGAGAGGGUGAUCGGCCACACUGGGACUGAGACACGGCCCAGACUCCUACGGGAGGCAGCAGUAGGGAAUCUUCGGCAAUGGACGAAAGUCUGACCGAGCAACGCCGCGUGAGUGAAGAAGGUUUUCGGAUCGUAAAAACUCUGUUGUUAGAGA
rnacentral:rRNA from 1 species